UACGUAGGGUGCGAGCGUUGCCCGGAUUUAUUGGGCGUAAAGGGCGCGUAGGCGGUGAGAUGCGUCCGUUGUGAAAUCGCCCGGCUCAACUGGGCGGGGUCAGCGGAUACGGUCUCACUUGAGCAAGCUAGGGGGCAAUGGAAUUCCCGGUGUAGUGGUGGAAUGCGUAGAUAUCGGGAGGAACACCAGUGGCGAAGGCGGUUGCCUGGGGCUUUGCUGACGCUGAUGCGCGAAAGCGUGGGGAGCAAACGGG
rnacentral:rRNA from 1 species